rnacentral:rRNA from 1 species
GUUGUCGUCAGCUCGUGUCGUGAGAUGUUGGGUUAAGUCCCGCAACGAGCGCAACCCUUAUCAUUAGUUGCUACGCAAGGGCACUCUAAUGAGACUGCCGGUGACAAACCGGAGGAAGGUGGGGAUGACGUCAAGUCCUCAUGGCCCUUAUGGGUAGGGCUUCACACGUCAUACAAUGGUCGGUACAGAGGGUUGCCAAGCCGCGAGGCGGAGCCAAUCCCACAAAGCCGAUCGUAGUCCGGAUUGUUCUCUGCAACUCGAGAGCAUGAAGUCGGAAUCGCUAGUAAUCGCAGGUCAGCAUACUGCGGUGAAUACGUUCCCGGGUCUU